rnacentral:rRNA from 1 species
UACGGAGGAUGCGAGCGUUAUCCGGAUUUAUUGGGUUUAAAGGGUGCGUAGGCGGUCCGUUAAGUCAGCGGUAAAAUUUCGGGGCUCAACCCCGACAAGCCGUUGAAACUGGCUUGCUAGAGUGGGCGAGAAGUAUGCGGAAUGCGUGGUGUAGCGGUGAAAUGCAUAGAUAUCACGCAGAACUCCGAUUGCGAAGGCAGCAUACCGGCGCUCAACUGACGCUCAUGCACGAAAGCGUGGGGAGCAAACAGG